rnacentral:rRNA from 1 species
AUUGAACUCUGGCGGCAGGCCUAACACAUGCAAGUCGAACGAGUGGCGGACGGGUGAGUAAUGUCUGGGAAACUGCCCGAUGGAGGGGGAUAACUACUGGAAACGGUAGCUAAUACCGCAUACCAUCGGAUGUGCCCCGAUGGGAUUAGCUAGUUGGUGGGGUAACGGCUCACCAAGGCGACGAUCCCUAGCUGGUCUGAGAGGAUGACCAGACAAACUGGAACGGAGACACGGUCCAGAAUCCUACGGGAGGCAGCAGGGGGGAAUAUUGGACAAUGGGCGCAAGCCUGAUGCAGCCAUGCCGCGUGUAUGAAGAAGGCCUUCGGGUUGUAAAGUACUUUCAGCGGGGAGGCGUUACCCGCAGAAGAAGCACCGGCUAACUCCGUGCCAGCCGCCGCGGUAAUUC